UUCUUUUUCAACAUACCUUCAAUUUAUUCUUUUGUAUCGUCACAAAAAGUUCUCCUCCUAUUCUAAUACUCUGGGAGUCGGUACCCGGGGGUGUUGCGCAAAGGGAAGAUGUUUAUUUGUCUGAAACAGUGGGGGUUCUGUUUGGGAUGAGAGCCGGGAGUAUCAUUUCUUCAAGGAGGGGAUUAAUGGAAAUGCACAAUUCA
ensembl:ncRNA C34H3.7 ncRNA